rnacentral:lncRNA from 1 species
AUGAUGAAGAAAAGAACACUGACAGAGGAGCCCAUUUCCAUGAGUCGAAGUGUGAGACUGUCAGAGGGAUCGGAGGAUGAAAGCAAAGGACUGGACUGGUAUAUGUUUGUUUUUUUUUUUAAGAUUUUAUUCAUUCAUGAGAGGCAGAGACAUAGGCAGAGAGAGAAGCAGGCUCCCCACAAGGAGUCCGAUGUGGGACUCUAUCCCAGUCCCGGGGAUCAUGCUCUGAGCCAAAGGCAGAUGCUCAACUGCUGGGCCACCCUGGGUAAAGAGGACUUUUUUUUUAAAGAUUUAUUUAUUUAUUUAUUCAGAGGGAGCGAGAGAGAGGCAGAGACACAGGCAGAGCGAGAAGCAGGCUCCAUGCAGGAAGCACGACGUGGGACUCGAUCCCGGAUCUCCAGGAUCACACCCCGGGCUGCAGGCAGCGCUAAACCGCUGCACCACCGGGGCUGCCCAAGAGGACUUUUUAUAAGCCAAGUCCUUUGUGGAGUCCUUCACACAUUUAACCUUAUUUAAAUUCUCAUGACAACCAUGUGAGUGAAGCAUUAUCCCAUUUUACAGAUGAAGAAGUUGAGGCUAGGAAGGUAAAUAAUUUGCCCAAGGGCUCACUGGAAAUGUUUAAGUCAGGAUUGGAACUCAUCCUUCAAGCCAGUGUUCCUCCUAAUGUGGCCCCCAGACCAGCACCAUCAGUAUUAUCUGAGAAAUUGCUAUAAAUGUACAUUUUGGGGCCUGUGAGCCUGAGACCGACAGAGUCAGAAAUUCUGGAAGUGGGACUCAGCAAUCUAUGUUUUAGUAAGUCCUCUAGGUGAUUCUGGUAUACUCUCAAAUAUGAGAACCACUAUUUGGAGCCACCCAACCUCUCAGUGUAUGCAAGACAACAUGGAGGGCUUGGCAGAGAAGCCUCCCGUCAGAGGACAGAGGCUGAAUCAAAUGGAUGAGAUCACUGGGGACUGGCUCCUGUUGUGAAUGCUUCAAGGAAAGCCCAGCCAGCUUGGAUACCUGGGCUGUCACCCUGUUCCCCCCGGAGCAUGAACUUGGCUUUCUCCCUCUCUGCCUGUCUCAGUUUAGUUGUUCCUUGCUUCCAAGGCAUCAUCACCCUCCUGCUCUUGCAGGGCAUCAUCACCCUCGUUGCUCUUUCUUGCCGACCACACAAAUCUCCUCCAACCAAGUCCUCCCCUGCAUGCUAGGCUCUGGUGCAAAUGGAUGCUGGACAUCCAUCCUCCCAGACAUGGAAACAUGGCUGGGACUUAGCUCUUCAUAACCCUCCCUUCCCUGGAGCUUCCUCCUGCCUCAGCCUUCUCGGCACUUGUCAUUAGGCCCUCAGUAACACUAUGGGAAAUGUCAUUGAAAUCAGAUUUUUCUGGGGCAGCAGUGGCUCAGCAAUUUAGCGCCGCCUUUGGCCCAGGGCCUGAUUCUGGAGACCUGGGAUCGAGUCCCACGUCGGGCUCCCUGCAUGGGGCCUGCUUCUCCCUCUGUGUCUCUGCCUCUCUCUCUCUCCUUCUCUCUGUGUGUCUCUCAUGAAUAAAUAAAUAAAAUCUAAAAAAAAAAAAAAAUCA